rnacentral:rRNA from 1 species
AACGAACGCUGGCGGCAUGCCUAACACAUGCAAGUCGAACGAAGCCUUCGGGCUUAGUGGCGCACGGGUGCGUAACGCGUGGGAAUCUGCCCUUGGGUUCGGAAUAACAGUUAGAAAUGACUGCUAAUACCGGAUGAUGUCUUCGGACCAAAGAUUUAUCGCCCAAGGAUGAGCCCGCGUAGGAUUAGGUAGUUGGUGGGGUAAUGGCCCACCAAGCCGACGAUCCUUAGCUGGUCUGAGAGGAUGAUCAGCCACACUGGGACUGGAACACGGCCCGAACUCCUACGGGAGGCAGCAGGGGGGAAUAUUGGACAAUGGGCGAAAGCCUGAUCCAGCAAUGCCGCGUGAGUGAUGAAGGCCUCAGGGUUGUAAAGCUCUUUUACCAGGGAUGAUAAUGACAGUACCUGGAGAAUAAGCUCCGGCUAACUCCGUGCCAGCCGCCGCCGUAACAC